AGGAUUAACGCUGGCGGCGUGCCUGACACAUGCAAGUCGAACGAGGCCGCAAGGCCGAGUGGCGGACGGGUGAGUAACACGUGACCAACCAACCUCGAAGUUGGGAAUAGCUCUGCGAAAGUAGGGGUAAUACCGAAUGUGGCCCAGGGCGGGCAUCCGCCUUGGUCUAAAGAUUCAUCGCUUCGAGACGGGGUCGCGGCCUAUUAGCUUGUUGGUGAGGUAACGGCUCACCAAGGCGAUGAUGGGUAGCUGGUCUGAGAGGACGACCAGCCACACUGGGACUGAGACACGGCCCAGACUCCUACGGGAGGCAGCAGUGAGGAAUCUUCCGCAAUGGGCGAAAGCCUGACGGAGCAACGCCGCGUGUGGGAUGAAGGCUCUAGGGUUGUAAACCACUGUCGGAGGGGACGAUCGUGACGGUACCCUCCAAGAAAGCCCCGGCUAACUACGCGCCAGCAGCCGC
rnacentral:rRNA from 1 species